UAUAAAGACCAGAGAUGAAUUGCAAGGAGAAUAAAAAUUCCAGAAAAGAAGGAAAGCAGGAAAAGGAUGGGGGGACAUGCUGCACUGCCUGAAAAAGACUCUGAUUCUUCUGUUGCACAGUGUAGGAUUUGCCAUGAAGAGGAAGACAAUGAGCUUAAAGACAUGGGGAGUCCUUGUGCUUGUUCAGGCACACUUAAGUAUGCUCAUAGGAAAUGUAUACAGAGAUGGUGCAAUGAAAAAGGGGAUACUAUUUGUGAGAUUUGCCUCCAGAAAUUUGAACCUGGGUUUACUGUAUCUGCUCAAACAGCUAAUAUUGAACAAAUGCCUCCACUUAUCAGAGGAGAACUUCACACUUCCAGCGAGAAUCAGGAGAUUCGGAGUCCAGGCUUGGCUGUGCCUGUAACAGUGGCAGUAGAUGGCGGUUCUCCUGUUCCUAACUUCAGGGGAUGCUCUUUCUCCACCUGCUGUCGAUUGGUGGCACUAAUGUGUUUUAUUCAUGUGGUUGUGGCUUCCGCCUGGCAGUUCACUGCUCUCCUGCUAAUACUUCAUGCUCUUAAUCUACUGCGGAAUGGAGGAGCGCAGUAUGCUCUUACACUCUUCACUCUUUUCCUUCUAAGGGCUGGGGGGUAUUGUUGCCCUUCUACAUAAUGGUUCAUGCAGUCGCUGUGAUUCAACGUCGACAACAGGCACGCGAGCAGGAUUAUGAUGGUGAUCUGCAAAAUCACAGAUACCUGGAUGAAGAUGUUCAGGAGCUCUAUCUCAGAGUCUAGUGCUCUUAACAUGUGCAAAACAAAAGAUUUAUAGCGGCUGUUAAGAUGCCGUAGCACCAAUAGUGAAAACAAAAGAUUUAUAGCUGGAGAACAGAACACACGGAAAGAGGGCAAAGAAAAACGCAGAAGCCGUUUUGGUUCGAUGGUAUCCCAUUUUAAUGGCUAUUAUGCACGAUCUCACCCUUGUAUAUGAUAGAAACUGCAUUUUUACUACAUACAUUCUGAGAAUUUUGUAUUAUUUUCCCAUUAUGAACAGCAACGUGACGUAUUCAAGGAA